CCUAGCCAUUAAGAAGCUAUAUGCAGCACUAGCCUUUUAAGCUAGAGAAAGAGGACUAUCCCACCCCUCCUUAAUGGU
rnacentral:tRNA from 1 species